rnacentral:rRNA from 1 species
GACGAACGCUGGCGGCGUGCUUAACACAUGCAAGUCGAACGAUGAAGCCUAGCUUGCUAGGUGGAUUAGUGGCGAACGGGUGAGUAAUACGUGAGUAACCUACCUUUAACUCUGGGAUAAGCCUGGGAAACUGGGUCUAAUACCGGAUACGACCAAUCUCCGCAUGGGGUGUUGGUGGAAAGCGUUAUGUAGUGGUUAUAGAUGGGCUCACGGCCUAUCAGCUUGUUGGUGAGGUAACGGCUCACCAAGGCGACGACGGGUAGCCGGCCUGAGAGGGUGACCGGCCACACUGGGACUGAGACACGGCCCAGACUCCUACGGGAGGCAGCAGUGGGGAAUAUUGCACAAUGGGCGCAAGCCUGAUGCAGCGACGCCGCGUGAGGGAUGACGGCCUUCGGGUUGUAAACCUCUGUUAGCAGGGAAGAAGAGAAAUUGACGGUACCUGCAGAGAAAGCGCCGGCUAACUACGUGCCAGCAGCCGCGGUGAUACGUAGGGCGCGAGCGUUGUCCGGAAUUAUUGGGCGUAAAGAGCUUGUAGGCGGUUUGUCGCGUCUGCUGUGAAAGGCCGGGGCUUAACCCCGUGUAUUGCAGUGGGUACGGGCAGACUAGAGUGCAGUAGGGGAGACUGGAACUCCUGGUGUAGCGGUGGAAUGCGCAGAUAUCAGGAAGAACACCGAUGGCGAAGGCAGGUCUCUGGGCUGUAACUGACGCUGAGAAGCGAAAGCAUGGGGAGCGAACAGG